AUUGAACGCUGGCGGAAUGCUUUACACAUGCAAGUCGAGCGGCAGCACGGGGGCAACCCUGGUGGUGAGCGGCGAACGGGUGAGUAAUACAUCGGAACAUGCCCAGUCGUGGGGGAUAACACUUCGAAAGAAGUGCUAAUACCGCAUACGUCCUGAGGGGGAAAGCGGGGGAUCUCAAGACCUCGCGCGAUUGGAGUGGCCGAUGUCAGAUUAGCUAGUUGGUGGGGUAAAGGCCUACCAAGGCAACGAUCUGUAGCUGGUCUGAGAGGAUGAUCAGCCACACUGGGACUGAGACACGGCCCAGACUCCUACGGGAGGCAGCAGUGGGGAAUUUUGGACAAUGGGCGCAACCCUGAUCCAGCCAUGCCGCGUGAGUGAAGAAGGCCUUCGGGUUGUAAAGCUCUUUCGGCAGGAACGAAACGGUGUGCUCUAACAUAGCGUUCUAAUGACGUUACCUAAAGAAUAAGCACCGGCUAACUACGUG
rnacentral:rRNA from 1 species